UACGUAGGGGGGCAAGCGUUGUCCGGAAUCAUUGGGCGUAAAGCGCGCGUAGGCGGCCCGGUAAGUCCGCUGUGAAAGUCCAGGGCUCAACCCUGGAAAGCCGGUGGAUACUGCCGGGCUAGAGUCCGGAAGAGGCGAGUGGAAUUCCUGGUGUAGCGGUGGAAUGCGCAGAUAUCAGGAGGAACACCAAUAGCGAAGGCAGCUCGCUAGGACGGUACUGACGCUGAGACGCGAAAGCGUGGGGAGCGAACAGG
rnacentral:rRNA from 1 species